CAGUUCGGAUUGAAGGCUGAAAUUCGCCUUCCAUGAAGCCGGAAUUGCUAGUAAUGGCAGGUCAGCAUACUGCCGUGAAUACGUUCCCGGGCCCUUGUACACACCGCCCGUCACACCAUGAGAGUUGGGAAUACCCGAAGCCUGUGAGCUAACUGUAAAGAGGCAGCAGUCGAAGGUAGAAUCAAUGAUUGGGGUGAAGUCGUAACAAGGUAAC
rnacentral:rRNA from 1 species